AUUGAACGCUGGCGGCAGGCCUAACACAUGCAAGUCGAGCGGAUGAAGGGAGCUUGCUCCUGGAUUCAGCGGCGGACGGGUGAGUAAUGCCUAGGAAUCUGCCUGGUAGUGGGGGAUAACGUCCGGAAACGGGCGCUAAUACCGCAUACGUCCUGCGGGAGAAAGUGGGGGAUCUUCGGACCUCACGCUAUCAGAUGAGCCUAGGUCGGAUUAGCUAGUUGGUGGGGUAAAGGCCUACCAAGGCGACGAUCCGUAACUGGUCUGAGAGGAUGAUCAGUCACACUGGAACUGAGACACGGUCCAGACUCCUACGGGAGGCAGCAGUGGGGAAUAUUGGACAAUGGGCGAAAGCCUGAUCCAGCCAUGCCGCGUGUGUGAAGAAGGUCUUCGGAUUGUAAAGCACUGUAAGUUGGGAGGAAGGGCAGUAAGUUAAUACCUUGCUGUUUUGACGUUACCAACAGAAUAAGCACCGGCUAACUUCGUG
rnacentral:rRNA from 1 species